GUAUUCAGUUCUUGUGUCUACCGGGAUGGUGCUCUGCUUGUACAGGGGAACAGAUCAGCAGGUGAACAACAGAACUAAGAUUGGAGAUGAUUGUGUGUUCAGAGUCAUCGAUGUUGUGGGUGGUAAUCCGUUUGGAUUAGCUGUUGCAGCGUUCCUGGGGAUGUUAAUGGCUGGGCCCUUGCUGCGUCAAAUGUCAGGAAAGAAGAGCUGUCUGUGUUCUCCUCCUGUGCCAACCAAUGAAGAAAUGGAUGAAAAAACAACUGCGUGACUACCUAUAGAAAGCCUCCAUCAGAAACAGUAAAAUAAAAAAUAAUCUGUAGGCUAAUUUUUU